AGAGUUUGAUCCUGGCUCAGGACGAACGCUGGCGGCGUGCUUAACACAUGCAAGUCAAGGGGGCUCCGCAAGGGGCAACCGGCGAACGGGUGCGUAACACGUGAGCAACCUGCCUUCGAGUGGGGAAUAGCCGGCCCAACGGCCGGGUAAUACCGCAUACGCUCUUCGCCUGGCAUCGGGUGGGGAGGAAACGUUUACGGCUCGGAGAGGGGCUCGCGGCCUAUCAGCUAGUUGGUGCGGUCACGGCGCACCAAGGCGACGACGGGUAGCUGGUCUGAGAGGAUGGCCAGCCACAUUGGGACUGAGAAACGGCCCAGACUCCUACGGGAGGCAGCAGUGGGGAAUCUUGCGCAAUGGCCGAGAGGCUGACGCAGCGACGCCGCGUGGGGGAUGAAGCAUUUCGGUGUGUAAACCCCUGUUGCUCGGGACGAACGACCCUUUUCGGGGGGUGUGACGGUACCGAGUGAGGAAGCACCGGCUAACUCCGUGCCAGCAGCCGCGGUAAUACGGAGGGUGCGAGCGUUGUCCGGAAUCACUGGGCGUAAAGGGCGCGUAGGUGGUUGGAUGCGCCGGUGGUGAAAGCGCGGGGCUCAACCCUGCGUCGGCCAUCGGGACGGUCCGACUGGAGCACUGUAGAGGCAGGUGGAAUUCCGGGUGUAGCGGUGGAAUGCGUAGAGAUCCGGAAGAACACCGGUGGCGAAGGCGGCCUGCUGGGCAGUGGCUGACACUGAGGCGCGACAGCGUGGGGAGCAAACAGGAUUAGAUACCCUGGUAGUCCACGCCGUAAACGAUGGGCACUAGGUGCUUGGGGGAGCGACCCCCUGAGUGCCGACGCUAACGCAUUAAGUGCCCCGCCUGGGGAGUACGACCGCAAGGUUGAAACUCAAAGGAAUUGACGGGGGCCCGCACAAGCGGUGAAGCAUGUGGUUUAAUUCGACGCAACGCGAAGAACCUUACCUAGGCUUGACAUGGCCGUGAACGGCCGAGGAAACUCGGUCGGUCCUUCGGGACGCGGUCACAGGUGCUGCAUGGCUGUCGUCAGCUCGUGUCGUGAGAUGUUGGGUUAAGUCCCGCAACGAGCGCAACCC
rnacentral:rRNA from 1 species